rnacentral:rRNA from 1 species
AUACGGAGGGUGCGAGCGUUGUUCGGAAUUAUUGGGCGUAAAGAGCAUGUAGGCGGUCUGUUAAGUCUGGUGUGAAAGCCCGGGGCUCAACCCCGGAAGUGCAUUGGAUACUGGCAGACUUGAGUAUGGGAGAGGAAAGCGGAAUUCCGAGUGUAGGAGUGAAAUCCGUAGAUAGUCGGAGGAACACCAGUGGCGAAGGCGGCUUUCUGGACCAAUACUGACGCUGAGAUGCGAAAGCGUGGGGAGCAAACAGGAUUAGAAACCCCGGUAGUCC